GAAAAUUGAAGUCUAAAAUAGAACAACCACUCAAAAAUUCAUAAGUCAGCAUAGAUCUGAAUUACAUAAAAUGAUAAACUGGAGUCGGUAUCAUGGAGAUCAUUAAUGGAUAUGAGAAGAUAACAGAAGACAACAAAGGCAGUUUUCAUUUUUGACCUGCAUUGGAAUAACUGCUAGUUGCCUGCUGGGAGAUGACACAAUUUAUGGAUUAAGCGCCAGCUAAUGUCUCAGGGAUUCAAAGAUUUUCUUUUGCCCAGAUCAGUUAACUCUUCAUCUUUUUUCCUUGAUCUUAAAAAUAAAAACAGGAGUACUAACCUUUGUACCUUUACAGAAAUAUUCAACCCUCUGACAAGUAUGUAGUGAUAGAAAGAAGAAUGUUCCAACAUAAUUGAAUUUAAUGUCAUUUUCAGAUUAUGGGAUCAUGAAGAUUUUAAAGAAGGAAAUUAUUCAUUUUUAAUUGAAUAGGCUAAAGAACAAGGAGGAAAACCUUAGCAGUCGAUGCGGAUUACCAUUUGAUUUUCACAUUCAUGUAGUGGCAGUUUUCUUCAAUAUAAAAAAGAAGUAAAGAUGAUGCCAAAAUAUAUUAAAAUUACCAA